rnacentral:rRNA from 1 species
UGCGUAGGUGGUUUCUUAAGUCAGAGGUGAAAGGCUACGGCUCAACCGUAGUAAGCCUUUGAAACUGGGAAACUUGAGUGCAGGAGAGGAGAGUGGAAUUCCUAGUGUAGCGGUGAAAUGCGUAGAUAUUAGGAGGAACACCAGUUGCGAAGGCGGCUCUCUGGACUGUAACUGACACUGAGGCACGAAAGCGUGGGGAAGCAAACG